GUCCAUGUUAACCUCCCACACAUCACUUGAAGCAGAUCAUCAUCACCAGUAAAAAAUCAGGCACCUGGCCCCAUUUGGGGCAGAAAUCUGGCACACAGAUGUAAGAUAAAAGAAAAUGUCAAGAUCACGACGAUAUCACAGACAUCGUAGUGCAAAAUCUGGAUGUCGUAAAACGCUUCGGAAAAAAAAUAAGAAGAGAAGUAAGAAAAAAAGACAUGGAGGAGGAGGAGGCCGGUGCACAAAAAGACAAGGACGCUACCAUUAUAGGAGGUGUGUUCUUUACUAAGUUGGCCUGAUUCAAACAAAGGAUCUUUGAUGAUGAGCAGUGACUGCCUGAAAUAAGAUAUCAUCAUCUCCAAUAAGCAACACCAAGGUUGGAGAUCAUUUCCAAUUAAAGCUUCCGUAGUUGAA
rnacentral:lncRNA from 11 species